rnacentral:lncRNA from 1 species
GAUAUAAAGAUUGACAGACAAGACAAGCCUUAAAAGACACAAUUUUUUAUGUUUAUUUUUUCACAAAAAAGCUUUACAAGAAGAAACAGGUUUUACAUUCUUUAAUCACCAUUCAUUUGUACAAUUGAUAUCCAAGGCUGCAUAUUCUCCUACAGUGUAUUUCUUCUCAUAAUAUUACAGGACAUUUACCUUUUCUUUAAAAGGACUAUAAUCAUUGCAUGUUGUUARGAAUUCUAUUAGGUAACACUACAUGUGAACAAUUUACACAGUCUGUAUCAGCUGUAGAUGAAGUGUCUUCAGUUUAAUUCUUUGCAUGUUUUGUAGCAGCAAAUAUAAAAUGUCUUUUAAAUAUUCAGAUUUUUAAAAGGCUUUGCAUCACAUGUAAUGGAAAAACAGAGGUUUAGUAUCUCAAACAGCAACAAAAAUAUUCCAGUGUCCACAAUGCAACACUUAAAUUCUCAAGAAAGGAAAACAAAAGAAAGUCCCCCCUCUUUCCCCAUAAACAACAUGGAGACAUUUAUUAAGGUGUUCAGUGCUCAAAUGUGACUUUCUUCACCAGUGGUAAACUGCUGYGAUUUUUAGACAUCUCAACAUCAGAACUAAAUAAAGUUACAUGGUUUUACAUAGUGAGAGAACCCGACCCUUCAUAGCUGCCUGUAUGCACAACCCUCUGCCAUUUACAGCAUCUUUGCUGUUCUGCAGAACAGGAAAACACACAGAACUAAAACCAAUCUCUCACCCCCGAAAUACCAAGGUAACAUAAUCCUCACCCUUUUAGAUCAAUGGAAGUUUUGCCCUUCAUUUCACUCAAAUCAGAAUUUCAGCAAGAUGUUUGCAAUCUCCCUGCCAUUGUGUUUUGAAGUGUGCGUAAUACAUAACAACAGUCUCAGAAGCAGGUUCACAGACUGAGAAAAAAUGUUUUACGAAAAAGUACUUCAUAAGAAGAACAGAUUGAACAUAAAGCACUUUUCUUUCUACUUCAUUCAAAAAUGUAAUGGAGAGGGAAAACCCUUCACAGUUUCUGAAUUAAUAAAGAAUUUUAAAAAUUGCAAAUUUACAAACCAUGAAGGUCAAAUACUGUAUUUCAAACAAUACUCCAGCAGUUCUGUAAAGAUAUGCAUUCAAAUAUUCUCAAGUAAGGCACUGAUGAUUUCACCCACAGUUUCACAAUGA